rnacentral:lncRNA from 1 species
GAGGGUCUCGAGCACGGAAUUGCUGAAGUUGUGAAGGUUGAUGCUGUGAAUGCGCUCGGUCAUCCCCUUGCAACUGAUGUCACCUGCAGCAUGUCAACGCAGACACAAAACAGGGCAUGGGUCAGAUCUAGCUGGUUGCAUUCCUAACACCUAGGUUUCAGAGUAAAAAUACAGAGUCAGCUUGUGAUGGCAUUCCCUCAAAACAUGGAAGGAAUUGCAGUAAUGAAAGUCAUCAUGUAUUCUAAGAGACUGUUCUGCGAGAGCACAACACAGACGGGGCUAAAGCAGGGAUUGUCUAAGCCCAGUGUGGAGGAACCAUCAAGGAUUUCAGCACGUUUUUUUAGCCAUUGUGAGAAGCAAAAGUGCUCAGGAGUUAAGAGAAGCAGACGUCCGAAAUUAUCUCCAUGCAUUACCAAAAACCGUGGGCACCACGGCACGGGGAAAACUUACCAGGUACAAUGAGCCAGUGACUGUUACUGAAUUUCUUAAGAUUACACUUUUCCCAACUACUGCAGACUGCUUCAGAAUAGAAGAAGACAACUCUCAUGCCAUCAAGCCGACGGACUUUCAAAAAAAUAAAAGAUGCAUUUCUUUACUUGGCCCAUGAGAAGUAAAAGCAGGCACUGGCAUUCUGCACAGAUGAAAUACUUCCUACGACAGGAAUACAUGCUCACUUGUGGACUUCUCUGUAAUCUGUAGGCAACAUCAGCUCCUGAUUUCUAGGUCUGGAUCUGGGUUCUCUGUAGCACAGGAAGGUCUCUACUUCUCCUACAUAAAUGCCUUGCAUGGCGGGAACUAAAUCAACUACACAGACCCAUACAUCCAGAGAGCAGAGGUGAGCUGGAUACAAGUGGCUUAGAGAUGUGGUGGAAGGAGGCCAGAGCUCCAAGGGAAGGGCAGCAAGGAGACAACAGCAUGGGUUGCAGCUCAGACAACAGGUAAAUAAAACCAAGCAAAGCUGCUGGUCACAGAUUUGACCAGGGUGGCAAGAAAUGACAAGCUACCAUGAGAUUCAACAGUGGCACGGAAGGAUGAUGAGAAGCAAACAGAUUAGGAGAAGCUGCCACCACCGUACAUAGAGGCACAGAUGACCAAGCAGAACAGCACCAGUCCCUGCAAGGUGUGCUCAGAUACAGCUCAGCACAGCCAUCUGGCCAGGAGGGAAUGAUAAUGCACAUGGUGUGCACUGCAGCCGGGAAGUUGAGAACCGCUGUGGGCACCUCAGGACUGAGUCUGGUUACCCUGCUGAUCCAAGAAAUGAAGCCAUCUAAAAUUUUGCCUGCUUUCACAAUUUUCUGUGUGUGUGUGUGUGUAUUAAACAAAGUGAACUAAGAA